rnacentral:rRNA from 1 species
CAGCCGCCGCGGUAAUACGUAGGUGGCAAGCGUUGUCCGGAAUUAUUGGGCGUAAAGGGCUCGCAGGCGGUUUCUUAAGUCUGAUGUGAAAGCCCCCGGCUCAACCGGGGAGGGUCAUUGGAAACUGGGAAACUUGAGUGCAGAAGAGGAGAGUGGAAUUCCACGUGUAGCGGUGAAAUGCGUAGAGAUGUGGAGGAACACCAGUGGCGAAGGCGACUCUCUGGUCUGUAACUGACGCUGAGGAGCGAAAGCGUGGGGAGCGAACAGGAUUAGAUAUCCCCGUAGUCCCUGUCUCUUAUAC